rnacentral:misc_RNA from 1 species
CCUUGUGGAGGAGGACGCCGAAGGUGGGGCUAAUGACUGGGGUGAAGUCGUAACAAGGUAGCCGUACCGGAAGGUGCGGCUGGAUCACCUCCUAACAGGGAGACAACAAAAUGUUUAAUAUUAUUAUUUUGUCACCUUAGGUCGAUCGGUAUCUCACGUUCUUAAUUUAUUAAGAAUUUCAUUUCCUAAGUUUUUCUAGGUCACACCCAUUAUUUUUCCUGGGCCAUUAGCUCAGGUGGUUAGAGCGCACCCCUGAUAAGGGUGAGGUCCCUGGUUCAAGUCCAGGAUGGCCCAUAUCUCUAUGUUGGGGGUAUAGCUCAGUUGGUAGAGCGCCUGCUUUGCAAGCAGGAUGUCAGCGGUUCGAGUCCGCUUACCUCCACUGAUUACCACCUCUUCCAUAAUUUGAAGAAAGGAAAUUUUUUGAGUUGUGAUCAAAUUCUGAACGAAUCUAGCUUCCUAAUGAAUCUAUUAAGAUGCUGGACUCAUUGAAUUAAUUUUCAUUGUUUUCAGAGAACCUUGACAACUGCAUAGAUUAUUUUUAAAGACAAUAAGCAUCUUUAAUGAUGCAGAUUUAUUAUUUGUGCGAAUGCAUUAAUAACAAUUCUAUUAAGCUGAUGCUUCAAUUUUUAAUGAAGUUAUUGGUCAAGCUACAAAGGGCUCACGGAGGAUACCUAGGCACACAGA